rnacentral:rRNA from 1 species
GCAAGUCGAGCGAGCGGAACUAACAGAUUUACUUCGGUAAUGACGUUAGGAAAGCGAGCGGCGGAUGGGUGAGUAACACGUGGGGAACCUGCCCCAUAGUCUGGGAUACCACUUGGAAACAGGUGCUAAUACCGGAUAAGAAAGCAGAUCGCAUGAUCAGCUUUAAAAGGCGGCGUAAAGCUGUCGCUAAAGGAUGGACCUGCGAUGCAUUAGCUAGUUGGGGUAAAGGUAACGGGCUUACCAAGGCGAUGAUGCAUAGCCGAGUUGAGAGACUGAUCGGCCACAUUGGGACUGAGACACGGCCCAAACUCCUACGGGAGGCAGCAGUAGGGAAUCUUCCACAAUGGACGCAAGUCUGAUGGAGCAACGCCGCGUGAGUGAAGAAGGUUUUCGGAUCGUAAAGCUCUGUUGUUGGUGAAGAAGGAUAGAGGUAGUAACUGGCCUUUAUUUGACGGUAAUCAACCAGAAAGUCACGGGCUAACUACGUGCCAGCAGCCGCGGUAAAU